rnacentral:rRNA from 1 species
AGUAAUGUCUAAGUAUCAUUAAGUGAAUACAUAGCUUAAUGAGGGGAACUCAGGGAACUGAAACAUCUAAGUACCUGAAGGAAGAGAAAGAAAUUCGAUUCCGUAAGUAGCGGCGAGCGAACGCGGAUUAGCCCAAACCAAUAAAGUUUUCUUUAUUGGGGUUGCGGACAUAUCAUAACGAAGAGGUAUCGUAAUUGAAGAGGUUUGGAAAGACCCACCACAGAAGGUAAUAGUCCUGUAUGUUAAACGAGAAGACUUUAGAUAUGAUCCAGAGUACCACGGGACACGUGAAACCCUGUGGGAAGCAGGAGGGACCACCCUCCAAGGCUAAAUACUACCUAGUGACCGAUAGCGUAUAGUACCGUGAGGGAAAGGUGAAAAGAACCCCGGGAGGGGAGUGAAAUAGAACCUGAAACCCUGCACUUACAAGCUGUGGAAGCACAUUUCUUGUGUGACCGCGUACUUUUUGUAGAACGGGCCAACGAGUUACGUUAAGUAGCAAGGUUAAGCACUUAAGGUGCGGAGCCGUAGCGAAAGCGAGUUUUAACUGAGCGUUCAGUUACUUGACGUAGACCCGAAACCGGGCGACCUACCCAUGAGCAGGAUGAAGCGAAAGUAAAAUUUCGUGGAGGUCCGAACCCACGAGCGUUGAAAAGCUCGGGGAUGACUUGUGGGUAGCGGUGAAAUUCCAAUCGAGCCCGGAGAUAGCUGGUUCUCCCCGAAAUAGCUUUAGGGCUAGCCUCAAGGUGAGAGAUACGGAGGUAGAGCACUGAAUGUCCUAGGGGGUAUUGCACCUACCGAAGACUAUCAAACUCCGAAUGCCGUCAUCUUAUACUUGGGAGUCAGACUGUGGGUGAUAAGAUUCAUAGUCGAAAGGGCAACAGCCCAGAUCGUCAGCUAAGGUCCCUAAAUGUAAGUUAAGUGGUAAAGGAUGUGGGAUUGCACAGACAACCAGGAUGUUGGCUUAGAAGCAGCCACUCAUUCAAAGAGUGCGUAAUAGCUCACUGGUCGAGUGAUCCUGCGCCGAAGAUUUCCGGGGCUAAAACUUACUACCGAAGCUACGGCAUCAGUAAUGAUGGGUAGGGGAGCUUCCCAUACGGGUUGAAGCAUGACCGUAAGGACAUGUGGACAGUAUGGGAGUGAGAAUGUUGGCAUGAGUAGCGAGAUGUGGGUGAGAAUCCCACAGGCCGUAAACCCAAGGUUUCCAGGGGAAGGUUCGUCCGCCCUGGGUUAGUCGGGACCUAAGCUGAGGCCGAAAGGCGUAGGUGAUGGACAACAGGUUGAUAUUCCUGUACUACCGAUAACCGUUUGAGAGAAGGGAUGACACAGUAGGAUAAGCUAAGCACACUGUUGGUUAUGUGUGCCCAAGCAUUGAGGCAGUCAAAGUAGGCAAAUCCGCUUUGAUAAUGCUGGGAUGUGAUGGGGAGCGAAAUUUAGUAGCGAAGUAGCUGAUUUCACACUGUCAAGAAAAGUCUCUAUCGAGGUUAAAGGUACCCGUACCGCAAACCGACACAGGUGGGUGAGGAGAGUAUCCUAAGGCCAGCGAGAGAACUGUUGUUAAGGAACUCGGCAAAAUGACCCCGUAACUUAGGGAUAAGGGGUGCCACCAUCAGGUGGCCGCAGAGAAUAGGCCCAAGCGACUGUUUACCAAAAACAUAGGUUUCUGCUAAGUCGCAAGACGAUGUAUAGGAGCUGACGCCUGCCCGGUGCUGGAAGGUUAAGGGGAUCUGUUAGAGCAAUCGAAGCAGUGAACUUAAGCCCCAGUAAACGGCGGCCGUAACUAUAACGGUCCUAAGGUAGCGAAAUUCCUUGUCGGGUAAGUUCCGACCCGCACGAAAGGCGUAACGAUUUGGGCACUGUCUCAACAACAGACUCGGUGAAAUUGUAAUUCCGGUGAAGAUGCCGGAUACCUGCGACAGGACGGAAAGACCCCAUGGAGCUUUACUGUAGCUUGACAUUGGGUCUUGGUACUACAUGUACAGGAUAGGUGGGAGGCUUUGAAACCAGGACGCCAGUUUUGGCGGAGCCAUCCUUGGG